rnacentral:lncRNA from 1 species
UAUAACCAAUGCUACAAUUGGUAUGGAUAAUAAUUGAAAACCAUACCCUGUAUUAUUUAUUCAUAAAUUCACAUGAACCUAGUUGAAAGAAAACACAAUCUAGAUACAGGAGAUCCAUUGUUAGCAUUUGGUAGGGUGGUGGUUUUCUCUUUUUAAAUCUUUUUUUUUGUGUGUGUGUGUGUAAGUUGUACUAUCUUCCCCGACUAGAUCCGAAGAGUAGCCGUUUAUUUUAGUAUGUAUCUUAAAGCAGCAAUG